UUCCACAGAAAAUGUUGUUUAAUCUAUGCUUCAGCUAAAUAAAGAUCUAGAUAAAGAUUGUCACAUUUUCACAGCACAAACAAACAGACACAAUGUGCCCAAGAAUGAAGAGAGAAACCAAGAAAGAAACAGAAAGAGAGCAAAGCGGAAACACAAACAAACAAAGAAUCCAAAUAAAUUACCAAAGAAUUCAGGCAAAAUCAACUCAAACAGAUUGUCAUCUACAUUCACUAGAGGACUUACAAUGAACCUUUUGUUUCCUAGAAAAUAUGCUUUUGUUUAUCAAAAAAUUAUAUUACAUCUAAUGGCACUUCUACAAAGUCUAUUAAAAAGUCUCAACUUAGUAUCAUCUUUCAUUUUACAAGUCAAAAUUCUGAGAUACAGUCAACUUUUGCACAAGAAACAAAUCAAUAAAUAUUAAUUACGAUUAUACAAUUUCACAGUCUGAACCUUUAGAAGACAAUAAUGCGGUUUUACUGUAAAUAUACAGCCGUUAUUCAGCAGACCGAGCUGAGAAACACCUCCAUCGUGUUAAAAGAGACAUUGAAACUCUGAAUCGUUCGCUGUCAUUAUUGCAUUCAUAUAUCGGCUUUUAUGAAUGUUGGAUAGCAUCAGAAAUGUGGAUCUCGAAUGAGGAACAGCGUCAGUGUACACACGAUCGUCAAAAUAAGAAGAAGAAAAAAACAAUCAAAUGCACAAAAAUCACCAGCGUGUGAAACUCCAGUGUAACAUGAUAUUAAUUUGCACAGAAAUUAAAAUGUAAAAAACAAAAAUGCCACAAUAAACUGUAAUCAUGAUGCAGAUAUGCAACAGAAUAUGAUGCACGCUUGCUUUUACAUGUGCAUCUUCAGAAAUAUCAUAUUUGUGGGCGUUUCAGGGAGAUUAUUAGUCUUCACGUCGUUCUGAUGUUUGUGCUUGUGAACCAACAGUUUUAACUUCAGACAACCACAGCGAUUUUAACUGGAAGACUACAUCCUAAACGAACCGUGACAAUGAUCUGAUAAAUAAAAUACAUAUUUACAAUAAAUAUACAGUUAGAAAUAGCAGCCUACGGUAUAUGAGUGUUGUAUCUAUCAGUGAAGUGCUCGAUAGUCGAUGAAAUCAGGUUCUCACAUACAGCAACUGAUCGAUUAUCCCGACAUUAGAGAGCAAAUAUCAGCUUUAAACCCUGAACCAAAACCUGCUAAUAAAUAACUAAUCAAGUUUAUCAGGACCGAUGAAACGUACAGCAUAACGUGGGGUUUUAGUGCUACUUACUGUAACUACAUAAAGAAUCCGUCAAAUGAGCAGAAAAUAAAACAGAAAACACCUUCAAAACGUUUCUGAGAUUCACUCAGCAGUGGUUCAACCGUAUGUCUGUCUGCAGAAAAAAGAAAGAGAUGUGAAAUAAAACAACAAACAUUCCAGUAGAUGUUAAAAAAACAAACAAACCAAAAAACUAUUAGAAGAAUCUACGUUCUUCUGAUAUUAGUAGAAGCUUUACUAGUCCUUCAUGUCUUCUUAUAUCAGACCACCAUCAAAACACUACGAUCUGAUGAGGGUCGGUUCAAAUCCAGUCCUCGACUAAAAGAAAACCAGGUAAUCCUGACCGAGAGCCAGCAGGAUCCAGAAAAGGCGACGUCACUUUAAAUGUUGCCAAGUGCUUCAGUGACGAAGCCCUUCAGGAGACAGAAACACACACAACUGUACCAGCGUACGUCUGGACUCCAGAUAUGUGAUUACACAGAAAAACUAUGAAAUCAUGAACAUACAGUACUUCUUCAAAACUUUCUCUGUCAGGGCACUCAAAUGAUUUGUAAUAAAUUACAGCAGGUUCAAAAGCAAAUCUUCUGGACGGAGCUGCAGAACUGGUUUAUCAGUGCACCGCAUUCAUAUAUAUAUAUAUAUAUUUCUUUUUUUAAUGUUCAUCAAUAUUUUGAUGCAUCUGAGACUUUGACAUCAUGUGUGUGUGUAGUAUAUAAGUGUAGUAUAUAGUAUACAUAUAUAUAGUUAAAAACUGUUAUAUAUAUAUAUGAUAUAUAUUAAACAGUAUAUGUAUGUAUGUGUAUAUAUAUAAACUGUUUUAUAUACACAUGUAUAUGUAUGUAUAUAUAUAUUAGUGCUGUCAAACGAUUAAUCACAUCCAAAAUAAAAGUUUUUGUUUACAUAAUAUGUGUGUGUAGUGUGUAUAUUUAUUACGUAUAUAUAAAGACAAACAUAUACAAUAUAUAUUUUGAAAAUAUUUACAUGUAC
ensembl:lncRNA